CACUUUUCCCUCACUUUUUAUCCAUGCACUCAAAUUCUCUCUAUUCUCCCUCCAGUUUUUUCGCUGGAAGCUUUUUCUCCCUCCCUAGCACUGUCGCGCCACCGAUCACUUCCCUCCGAUUACAACCCUCCAGACACCAUCCUCUCAUUCAUGCACGAACUACUGCUGCAGGAUCCCCUUUGUUUGUGGCUUAGAUCCGUCACAGAUCUUCUCCCUCAGUUUUCUUUGUUUCCGACGCCGAUCAACACCAUCGGCAGCAGCUCCGAUUCCGUCCAACAUCAUCCUCCUCCAAUUUCCUCUUCAAUUUUG